rnacentral:ncRNA from 2 species
UACUUAUCGAGAGUGACCGAGGGAUAGGCCCGAUGACGUCCAGCAACCGCCCAGUGGGGAAAGGUGCUACUUCCUACAGGAUGAUUUCAUUCUGAAAGAUAAGUC